UACGGGGGGGGGGUAAGCGUUGUUCGGAAUUACUGGGCGUAAAGGGCUCGUAGGCGGCCAACUAAGUCAUACGUGAAAUCCCUCAGCUUAACUGGGGAACUGCGUCCGAGACUGGCGGGCUUGAAUCCGGGAGAGGGAUGCGGAAUUCCAGGUGUAGCGGUGAAAAUGCGUAGAUAUCUGGAGGAACACCGGUGGCGAAGGCGGCAUCCUGGACCGGCAUUGACGCUGAGGCGCGAAAAGCCCAGGGGGAGCAAACGGGGAUU
rnacentral:rRNA from 1 species